AAGGGUAUGGCUCAGUGGUAGAGCACUUGCUUAGCAUGCACGAGGUCCUGGGUUCAAUCCCCAGUACCUCCA
rnacentral:tRNA from 1 species